rnacentral:lncRNA from 1 species
AUUGGACCUGAAGGUGAAGUCUGGAAGGUGAAGAUCUGAUUUCUCCUGGACUCUCCUGGACAGUUAGCAAGCAGCCUCUUUUAAUUCCACCAUCCAAGGUUGAGAGGACACAUCCAUAGGCUCUGAUGGACAGAAUGAAACUUGGAGAAACCCUCUUUUCCCUGGGACAAUUGAGAACUCAGCUGGAUCCAUGCACCUGAACCACCAAGGAGAAAUUCACAGUGGAUCACGGCCAGAUAUGAAGAGGAAAUGGAUCUCAUUUUUGUUUCAGCUGAAACCUAUUGUAAGAACACUGCUUGGAGCAAAUUAGAAGUAAGGGGACA